GCUCAGUAACACGUGGAUAACCUACCCUUAGGACCGGGAUAACCUUGGGAAACUGAGGACAAUACUGGAUAGGCAAUUUUUCCUGUAAUGGUUUUUUGUUUAAAUGUUUUUUCGCCUAAGGAUGGGUCUGCGGCCGAUUAGGUAGUUGGUUAGGUAAUGGCUUACCAAGCCGUUGAUCGGUACGGGUUGUGAGAGCAAGAGCCCGGAGAUGGAACCUGAGACAAGGUUCCAGGCCCUACGGGGUGCAGCAGGCGCGAAACCUCCGCAAUGUGAGAAAUCGCGACGGGGGGAUCCCAAGUGCCAUUCUUAACGGGAUGGCUUUUCAUUAGUGUAAAAAGCUUUUGGAAUAAGAGCUGGGCAAGACCGGUGCCAGCCGCCGCGGUAACACCGGCAGCUCUAGUGGUAGCAAUUUUUAUUGGGCCUAAAGCGUCCGUAGCCGGUUUAAUAAGUCUCUGGUGAAAUCCUGUAGCUUAACUGUGGGAAUUGCUGGAGAUACUAUUAGACUUGAGACCGGGAGAGGUUAGAGGUACUCCCAGGGUAGAGGUGAAAUUCUGUAAUCCUGGGAGGACCGCCUGUUGCGAAGGCGUCUAACUGGAACGGUUCUGACGGUGAGGGACGAAAGUUAGGGGCGCGAACCGGAUUAGAUACCCGGGUAGUCCUAACUGUAAACGAUGCGGACUUGGUGUUGGGGUGGCUUUGAGCUGCUCCAGUGCCGAAGGGAAGCUGUUAAGUCCGCCGCCUGGGAAGUACGGUCGCAAGACUGAAACUUAAAGGAAUUGGCGGGGGAGCAC
rnacentral:rRNA from 1 species